UACGUAGGUGGCAAGCGUUGUUCGGAAUUAUUGGGCGUAAAGGGCGCGUAGGCGGUUUGUUAAGUCGGUCGUGAAAGCCCGGGGCUCAACCCCGGAGGGUCGACCGAUACUGGCAGACUAGAGUACAGAAGAGGUAACUGGAAUUCCCGGUGUAGCGGUGAAAUGCGCAGAUAUCGGGAGGAACACCAAUGGCGAAGGCAGCUUGCUGGGACGGUACUGACGCUGAGACGCGAAAGCGUGGGGAGCGAACAGG
rnacentral:rRNA from 1 species